GACGAACGCUGGCGGCGUGCCUAAUACAUGCAAGUCGAACGCUUCUUUCCUCCCGAGUGCUUGCACUCAAUUGGAAAGGGGAGUGGCGGACGGGUGAGUAACACGUGUGUAACCUACCCAUCAGAGGGGGAUAACACUUGUAAACAGGUGCUAAUACCGCAUAACAGUUUAUGCCGCAUGGCAUAAGAGUGAAAGGCGCUUUCGGGUGUCGCUGAUGGAUGGACCCGCGGUGCAUUAGCUAGUUGGUGAGGUAACGGCUCACCAAGUCCACGAUGCAUAGCCGACCUGAGAGGGUGAUCGGCCACACUGGGACUGAGACACGGCCCAGACUCCUACGGGAGGCAGCAGUAGGGAAUCUUCGGCAAUGGACGAAAGUCUGACCGAGCAACGCCGCGUGAGUGAAGAAGGUGUUCGGAUCGUAAAACUCUGUUGUUAGAGAAGAACAAGGACGUUAGUAACUGAACGUCCCCUGACGGUAUCUAAACAGAAAGCCACGGCUAACUACGUG
rnacentral:rRNA from 1 species